UUUUCAAAUGUUGAAAACUUUUGCCUCUUUUAUCAUUUUCAUCAUCUCAACAAAAAAAAAAGAAAGCUUCCAAUCUCAUUUUAUCUCCAUUACUUUCUACACCAAAAUUGGGUCCCACAACCCGGUUCUUUGUCUAGAGGAUAGCAGUUGAGUACUAGUGGUGGUCUCGGGUAGAAUUGGUAAGAAGACAUCAAACCUUUUGAAAGCUUCAAAGGUAAUACUUCUUAAAACCCUAAUUUGAUUAGUUUAUGGUUACAUGUUAAUUGUGGCAAUUAGGGUAGAAAUUCGAUUCUUUUUCCGCUGUGCAUGACUUAGUUCUAUCACUAUCAUCAAUUGAUGCAUGAUAACUCGUAUUUUGCUAACCAUACGUGUGGAGAUUGUAGCAAUAUAAUCUUGUCCUCAAAUUUGUUUCUUGCAUAUAUCCCAGAGAUGAAUGAUAUGUGUAGCGAUAGCACUGAGAGGUUGCUCACCUUAAUAAGUGCAAAUUACUUAUAAUCCAAAUAAACAAAAAAGAUACAAAUUAUAGAUUAACUCCAAAUAUUUGGAUCUUAAGAGACGAGCAAGUAUGGAGAAAGCACUGAGAAGUUCCUCACCUUAAUUAUGAAGUUAAUAGAUGUUUUAUAUUGCCUCGAAAUGUUAAACUCUCAUGUUUUACAUAUGAUUAGCUAAAUUUUCCUUCACUACCACACCAAACCACCGAGUCAUGUUUUAUCACACUUCACCACCAUAUUCACCUUGAUGCUCUUACUAGCACCAUUAGUGUAAAUAGCUAGAAAUUUACACUGUGCAUAUUUUAUACAAUAUACUCACUACAUAAGAUUAUGACAUGAGAUAAAUUCAUUUUUGGAAACUAAUUUCCUGUGUUCAACUAUGGACUUUUCACAAAAUCUCUUUCGAUGUUUGGAAUUGGCGAGAAAGAGGAAACUUGUACUAAUGUUUCAUCAUCAUGCAUGUGGCAACACAUAGGUAAGGCGCACACCUUUUAUCACAUAACACUAACCUAGACGUCAUGUUUAGUCGCAUUAUUUGAGCUUUGCAUGGUUGACGAAGCUAAAGAUGUAUAUGCUAAAUGAUACAAUCCAGUAGAUCAAUUUAUGAUGUUAAUGCAACAAAAUUAAGUCCUUGGAGACCAUAUUAAUUCUAAAGUUAAAUUCAAAGAAAUUGUAGUAAGGAGGGUGCUUACCGUUUUAGCUUCAACUAAAAGAAUUUAUAGAAUUUGCCUUACUUUUUGUUUCGUAGUAAUGUAGAAGUAAAGUGCUGAACCCUAGAGAAUCUGGGGAAGUAGAAAUUCAAAUUGAAAUCUAAAAACGAAUCUCAAGAAGGUGGUUAGAAGACAAAAGAAAUCACUAAAAAUAUUGUGCAAGAAUGUAAAAGAGAGCUUUUAGUGGCAACAGACAAGAAGAAGAUUAGAGAAGACAAAUUUCAUUUGAUUCUUAUUUCAAAUCUACAAAGACAAUGAAUUAACUCUCAACAGAAGUAUUGUGGCAUGGAGUAUGGGGAUUUAUUGCAACUUUUAUGGGUGUAGUACAAGAGAAAAUAAGAAUGCUUACCAUUCGACUCUUAAUCAAGUCACCUUUUGAAAUCAACUUGCUUGAUUUUUCUUUGGGUGAUUUGACUAUGAUCCAAGAAUUGAGAGUAAUUCAAACUUGAAGUUUCUUUUUAUGAUUUGACUAAGAUCCAAGACUUGCUCUCUAUUUGAAAGUCAUAUCAUUCAAACAACGAGAUGACAUUACAAUAGAUGACAUUACAAUAGAUGACGUUACAAUUCAUAAGAGAAGUUCACAAUGGCAAGAUUGACAAUUGAACCAAAGAAAAUUCAGUCUAGAAUUCAUCUUUUAUUUUCAUUAAGAAACUAGUAUAUCUUACGUACAUAGAAUUAAUAUUAAAUUGAACUCAA
rnacentral:lncRNA from 1 species